rnacentral:rRNA from 1 species
GAUGAUACGCGAACGAACCUUAACCAGGUCUUGACAUCCCCCGCCGAUGCUUUAGAGAUAAAGCGGAGGUAUUCGGGGAGGACAGGUGGUGCAUGGUUGUCGUCAGCUCGUGUCGUGAGAUGUUGGGUUAAGUCCCGUAACGAGCGCAACCCUUGUCCUUAGUUACCAGCACGUUAUGGUGGGCACUCUAAGGAGACUGCCGGUGACAAACCGGAGGAAGGUGGGGAUGACGUCAAGUCAUCAUGGCCCUUACGGCCUGGGCUACACACGUGCUACAAUGGUCGGUACAAAGGGUUGCCAAGCCGCGAGGUGGAGCUAAUCCCAUAAAACCGAUCGUAGUCCGGAUCGCAGUCUGCAACUCGACUGCGUGAAGUCGGAAUCGCUAGUAAUCGUGAAUCAGAAUGUCACGGUGAAUACGUUCCCGGGCCUU